UAACGCAAUGUGAUUUCUG
rnacentral:snRNA from 1 species